AGCGAACGCUGGCGGCAGGCCUAACACAUGCAAGUCGAACGGACCCUUCGGGGUUAGUGGCGGACGGGUGAGUAACACGUGGGAACGUGCCUUUAGGUUCGGAAUAGCUCCUGGAAACGGGUGGUAAUGCCGAAUGUGCCCUUCGGGGGAAAGAUUUAUCGCCUUUAGAGCGGCCCGCGUCUGAUUAGCUAGUUGGUGAGGUAAUGGCUCACCAAGGCGACGAUCAGUAGCUGGUCUGAGAGGAUGACCAGCCACACUGGGACUGAGACACGGCCCAGACUCCUUCGGGAGGCAGCAGUGGGGAAUCUUGCGCAAUGGGCGAAAGCUUGACGCAGCCAUGCCGCGUGAAUGAUGAAGGUCUUAGGAUUGUAAAAUUCUUUCACCGGGGACGAUAAUGACGGUACCCGGAGAAGAAGCCCCGGCUAACUUCGUGCCAGCCGCCGCAGUAA
rnacentral:rRNA from 1 species